UGGGUAUGGGAUGGCACUGCGAUAUUCAUCCAUACAAAAACCUAAGAGCAGAAACUUUAAACUCUCCCAUUCUCAUUGUGAUAAACCAACAGGACGGACUGUUUUUCAACUGGAAUGUAGAGUUUUUGUUGAGGCACUGACAGGAGAUGCAUCACUGUGAUUACUUCGACUACUGGGGACAAGGGACUGAAGUUACAGUGACUUCUGUCCCUUUGACCAGACCGACGGUGUUCCCUCUGAUGCAAUGUGGUUCUGGGACUGGAGAUACAGUCACUCUCGGCUGCUUUGCCAGCGGCUUCUCGCCCUCCUCGCUGACCUUUGCAUGGAACAAAGUGAAUGGAGCCGCCUUGACCGACUUCAUCCAGUACCCUCCAGUUCAAAAGGGAAACUUAUAUUCCAGGGUCAGUCACGUCCGAGUGAGCAGACAGGACUGGUGGACAAAGGAUGCCACUUUCCAAUGCGCGGCGACCCAUGCAGCAGGACGGGUAGAGGUCACCAUCCAAGGGCCAAGACAAGUUUCUCCAAACGUCACGUUACACCCAGUUUGGCAGGGUGAAUUCGGGAAGUCACCAGUCAGACUCAUCUGCAACAGUCAAGGCUUCUUUCCAGACCAACUGAGUGUGGAGUGGAAGCAGGAAAACAAAGCUCUAAACGUUGUGCAAACCCAAACCAAGCUUCAGAGUGUGGAGGGAGAGGAGAAAACCUUCAGUCUGAGCAGUGAGAUUGAGCCAGAUAUGACUGAGUGGGCACAGGGCUCAAGUUUUACGUGCACAUCUGUUCACAUCAAUCAGAGGUUCAUGAAGACCACAAGUAUUUGUCAAUAUCAAGCAGCAGCCUCUCCUUCCAUCGACGUGGAGAUUCCCGACUUCAAGAAAGUCAUGACAGAAGAAUCUCCCCUAAAAGCAACAUGUUUUGUCCACACUGGUCUUAAGGCCAAGGUGACGUGGCUGCUGAAUGAGGGAGACCCAGCGGGUGGCACCGUGACACAGGACACCAACACAACUCAUUCAGUCAGUGAACUGACGCUUCCUUCAAGUCGAUGGAAACAACUCAAGUCUAUAACAUGUCAAGCUGACCACAAGUGCUUCUCCUCUACUAAGAAGACUGUGCAAAUUGCAGAUCCCUGUGGUCCUGUGAUAAGUAAUAUCACAAUGACACUGAAACCAACACAUCCCAAAGACAUUUUCAUCAAAUACCAGGCAAAGUUUGAGUGCAGGAUUGAAGGACUGGACGAGAACGCCAUGAAUGAAAUGAAUUUCACUUGGCAAAUUAAUGGAAAUGAUGAGACGAAGUACAUCAGUGAAAGAAGAGACUCCACAGGCAUCAAAAUCAGCACUUUGACUCGAAACCACACUGAAUGGAAGACAAUGAACAAAGUGACCUGUUCUGCUAAGGACCAAAAAACACACAUUUCUAAAGAUCUGAUCUACCAACGAGAUGAUGUCCCAAAAGUAACAAUCCACAUCCUCCCAAUGGAAUAUGUUGAAAAUGCUUCUGAGGUCACUAUGUUGUGUCUGGUCUCUAGCAAGAAACAGCAGGAUGUCUACAUCGCCUGGUUAGAAGGGGAAAAAAAAACUAAUGGCGUCUAUUACGAUGGCAUCGACUUCCCCCCUAUGAAGACUGAACACGGCUUCUCAGUCACGAGUCUUUACACCACCUCCUUGGAUAAGUGGAACCAACACGUCCAGUUCUCCUGCAACGUGUGGACACCUGGUGGUGAAAAGUUCAAAGAUGUGUCUCAGUCCGUGAUUAGAUCGAAUGAAUCUUUAAAACUGCGUGUCGCUAUGAGCUGCACAGAUGAUGCCAUUGAUGAAGAUGAGUACAGCAGCCUGUGGUCCACCACCUCCUCCUUCAUAUUCCUCUUCAUAUCCUCUCUCAUUUACAGCAUGGUGUUCAGCCUGGUCAAGAUGAAGAGGCCAUGAGAUGAGAUUGAUGCAUAGCAUGGACUGCACUUCUACAUUUAUAAGUAUUAUUUCUGGUUUUAAAAACAUUUAAUUGAGUGCUAGAUUAAAUGAUGGUCAAAUAAAAGAUACAAUUGUAAUUGUUAGUCAUUUAGAUGAAUAGAUUUCCCUGCAUUGGCUUCUGUUCUUGCAUUAGGAAUAAACAUGUUGUACAAUAAUUUUCUUGUAGACUUAAAUAUUGUUUAAAGUUUCAUACAUUGCCUCAUAAAUAUAAAAUUGCACUAGUUAUUUUGUACGAUGUUUGUAACUGAUACAAUUUUAAGUUUCCUUGUUUGUCAUUAUGUUGAACAAUUUGCUUUCAUUUAAUUGAACAGAUAUAAUAUUUAAUAUAAUAUGGACAGAAACAUACUAACAUACAAGAGAACUUCAACAGUUAACAAGUUAAACUGUGAGUUUCCAUCAGUUUCCUGUCAUUUCUAAACAUAUCAUCUUUAGAGAGUCCCCCCCCCCUCAUUGUCCACCUCAGGGACCCCACACCUGUUGUAGUGAAACUACAGAGCUACAAAUAAACUUCCUCAAAACUAGAGACCCAUCUUCCUGUGCAUGUAUUUGCAUAUCAGCGUACAACAAGGCAACAUGUGGCUUACAUGCAAACUGCAGACACAAAGAUCUGUGAAACACCAUGAAGUCACAUGACAAACGGCAAGAUAUUAAAUAAAUCAUUUUAUGAACAAUGUGAAAGUGCAUCCAUCACAUGCAG